GACGUAGGGCGCGAGCGUUGUCCGGAUUUAUUGGGCGUAAAGAGCUCGUAGGCGGCUUGUCGCGUCGUCCGUGAAAACCUGCAGCUCAACUGCAGGCUUGCGGGCGAUACGGGCAGGCUAGAGUUCGGUAGGGGAGACUGGAAUUUACGGUGUAGCGGUGAAAUGCGUAGAUAUCGUAAGGAAGACCAGUGGCGAAGGCGGGUCUCUGGACAGUUCCUGACGCUGAGGCACGAAGGUCAGGGGAGCAAACGGG
rnacentral:rRNA from 1 species